AGUCGAGCGAACGGAUAAGGAGCUUGCUCCUUUGAAGUUAGCGGCGGACGGGUGAGUAACACGUGGGUAACCUACCUAUAAGACUGGAAUAACUUCGGGAAACCGGAGCUAAUGCCGGAUAACAUUUGGAACCGCAUGGUUCUAAAGUAAAAGAUGGUUUUGCUAUCACUUAUAGAUGGACCCGCGCCGUAUUAGCUAGUUGGUAAGGUAACGGCUUACCAAGGCAACGAUACGUAGCCGACCUGAGAGGGUGAUCGGCCACACUGGAACUGAGACACGGUCCAGACUCCUACGGGAGGCAGCAGUAGGGAAUCUUCCGCAAUGGACGAAAGUCUGACGGAGCAACGCCGCGUGAGUGAUGAAGGUUUUCGGAUCGUAAAACUCUGUUAUUAGGGAAGAACAAAUGUGUAAGUAACUGUGCACAUCUUGACGGUACCUAAUCAGAAAGCCACGGCUAACUACGUGCCAGCAGCCGCGGUAAUACGUAGGUGGCAAGCGUUAUCCGGAAUUA
rnacentral:rRNA from 1 species